rnacentral:rRNA from 1 species
GACGAACCGUGCGAACGUUGUUCGGAUUCACUGGGCUUAAAGGGCGCGUAGGCGGGCGGUCAAGUCGGGGGUGAAAUCUUUCAGCUUAACUGGAAAAGUGCCUCCGAUACUGAUCGCCUCGAGGGAGGUAGGGGCAUGUGGAACUUCCGGUGGAGCGGUGAAAUGCGUAGAUAUCGGAAGGAACGCCGGUGGCGAAAGCGACGUGCUGGACCUCUCUGACGCUGAGGCGCGAAAGCUAGGGGAGCAAACGGG